AGAGAGAGAGAAGAGGGAAGGGUUGCGAUUUGGGGGGGAAGGGGGCUUGUUUGAGAAUUCUUUUUUUUUUAAAGGUAUAAGUGUCAGGGUUUUUAAAAAAUGAGUAUUAUUUAUAUGUUUUAGUUUAUGUUGGUAUUUUUUUGUUUUUAUCUUUGAGAAUGGUAAAACGUACCAUUAAGCCCAUAAAGAUAUAUAAUAAUGGGGUUGAGUACGAGUACAAACUCCUUUAACAUAAAAACUAAGAGUACUACAAUUAACC
rnacentral:lncRNA from 1 species